AUUUUAUACAUUAUCGAAGCAAGAAUAAUCGAAACUAAUAUACACAGCAAGCAUUGGACAGUGGACAUUAGGGCAAUUAAUAACUAAAAAAUCAUUUACUUUUGUUCCUCAUUCGCGGGCUUUUGAUUGAAGUUGUUUUUUAUUUUUUGAUAAGCGUAAUAGUGUUAAGUGGGAGACAAUAACAUAUGGGCACUGGGCUCUCAAAGACUAGCUCAAUCCGGAAAAGGAAGCAUUAACAAAAUCCUGAAACAGAGCAUAGAUUGGGACCAAAUAAUUAAAUUACCCACAGCCAUCGAUACUAAUUCCAACCCUCCCCCUUCCCUUUCCUCUUCAGCUACAUUUUUGCCUCUUAUACAUUCAGAACACAACUAUAAUAAAAAUAAAUUAAAUAGAGCGAAACUGGUAGCCAUGUACAGGAGGAACUAGUCAUGCAUAUUCUUGCUCCUCUGCAUCAGGUUGCUUCUCUGCAUCAGGUUGCUUCUUUGCAUCAGGUUCUUUUGCCUUAAAAAUAUUCCUGAAUGUCAAGAAGAUCUGAAUCGAAAUCCUCAUCAAAAGCGGCAGGGCAGCAGUAAAUAACAGGUAGCGAUACUUAACAUUCUCACGAGGAGUAACAGCGAAAACAGCAGAUCCGUAAGUAACAAUCAUUGAAAUGGUGGCAACCCAUAUCUCAAAAUGUAAUGGAAACCUGUACGUGAGAGAAACAAUUAUAAGGAUGGAGGUGGACAGCGCCAAUGUGUUGGAUAUCAGGAAAACAUAAUAAGCGUGUGGCUGAGAGGCAUAAAUUGCCCUUCCUGCGUGAUGGCCAUCAUCAUUGUCCUGCCAGACGCCUCCUGGCGGGUUCACGCCAGCUUGGAAGGUCACUGCAGCAAUUAGCGCCGCUAUCACGAGCAAAAAAUUUCGGGCAUCACUGGGCUUCUCGUUCUCCUCGUCAUAUUGGAAGUACAUGAACCAGUGGCUCCAGGUAUUUUUGGGAGGAGGACUAACCUUUCCUUCUGCAAGUGUUUUGUUUUCCAUUUUUCUCGAGUGCUUCUAUAAAACAAAAUCUGGACUCUUCGGAGCUUAUAUAAAUGAUUAGUUGAGCCGUUGAUCUGGUCAAUGGAAGUAGAUGAAAGCUAUCAUCAGCGAGAGGGAAGGGAACUUUUGAGGCUCAGGAAGCAGGUAGGAAACUCC
rnacentral:misc_RNA from 1 species